GUUCUUCCGCCAGCGCCCAUCGUGAAGACCACAGUUUCCUGUCGCGUGGAUGUGUUUCCUCUCUGGCCAUUGCCAUCCGCCCAAAUCUACAGACAUCCCGCAUGUUCCCGGGCUCGUCUCCCCAAUACAGGGCACCAAGUGCCAGGAGCGACGGUACACUCCAGAGUGCUGUGCCCUGAUGGGCCUUUGAGUGGCCAGUGCAGUGGAUCAUCAGCCCUGUCUCCCAAGAGCUCCAGUCCCUUCUCCGGAGAGGAAGUGGGUCCACUGGCAGCUCAGGAGGCCAUAGCAGGAUUGUCACGUGUGCUCAACAGUCCUCCUCGGCUUUCCAGAAGAGGCUGGAACAGGGCCCUUGAAGAUGUUUGUGGACAUCAGAGGGCCAAAGACGACACAAAGUGAAACUGGAGACACCGCCCCCCCUUGGCAUCAUGAAACUGCCGAUGUUACUGGCUCAUGCAUGGGAGACACCAGCAUACAAAGUCUUGACACCAACACCUCAGAGGGCUGUGUUCUGUCCCCGUGACCAUCAUCUAGUGCCUGGAAAGACUAGUGACAAGAACUUGUUGCCAACUUCCUAUUACCUCCCUAACAGUUGUGCAAUAAACCCCAUAGGUUAAU
rnacentral:lncRNA from 1 species